rnacentral:rRNA from 1 species
AUCGAACGCUGGCGGCAGGCCUAACACAUGCAAGUCGAGCGAGCGGCGGACGGGUGCGUAAUGUAUGGGGACUGCCCGAUAGAGGGGGAUAACAACUGGAAACGGUAGCUAAUACCGCAUACUAUCGGAUAACCCAUAUGGGAUUAGCUAGUAGGUGAGGUAAUGGCUCACCUAGGCGACGAUCCCUAGCUGGUCUGAGAGGAUGAUCAGCAAAACUGGGCGUGAGACACGGCCCGGAUUCCUCCGGAGGCAGAGGUGGGAAAUAUUGCACAAGGGGCGCAAGCCUGAUGCGGCCAUGCGGCGGGGAUAAAGAAGGCCUUCGGGUUGUAAGGUACGUUCAGACGGGAGGCGUUACCGACAGAAGAAGCACCGGCUAACUCCGUGCCAGCAGCCGCGGUAAUUC